UUUUUUUUUUUUUUUUUUUUUUUUUUUUUUUUUUUUUCCAA
rnacentral:ribozyme from 1 species